GACGAACGCUGGCGGCGUGCUUAACACAUGCAAGUCGAACGGAAAGGCCCUGCUUGCAGGGUGCUCGAGUGGCGAACGGGUGAGUAACACGUGGGUGAUCUGCCCCUUACUUUGGGAUAAGCCUGGGAAACUGGGUCUAAUACUGGAUAGGACCAUGCUGUAGGUGGUGUGGUGGAAAGAUUAGUUUCGGUAAGGGAUGAGCUCGCGGCCUAUCAGCUUGUUGGUGGGGUAAUGGCCUACCAAGGCGUCGACGGGUAGCCGGCCUGAGAGGGUGGACGGCCACAUUGGGACUGCGAUACGGCCCAGCCUCCUACGGGAGGCAGCAGAGGGGAAUAUUGCACAAUGGGCGCAAGCCUGAUGCAGCGACGCCGCGGGGGGGAUGACGGCCUUCGGGUUGUAAUCUCCUUUCAGCCAUGACGAAGCCCUUGUGGUGACGGUAGUGGUAGAAGAAGCACCGGCUAACUACGUG
rnacentral:rRNA from 1 species